UACGUAGGGGCAAGCGUUAUCCGGAUUUACUGGGUGUAAAGGGAGCGCAGACGGAACUGCAAGUCUGAUGUGAAAGCCCGGGGCUCAACCGCGGGACUGCAUCGGAUACUGUGGAUCUGGAGUGCCGGAGGGGCAAGCGGAAUUCCUGGUGUAGCGGUGAAAUGCGUAGAUAUUGGGAGGAACACCAGUGGUGAAGGCGGCUCUCUGGCCUAACCCUGACGCUGAGGCGCGAAAGCGUGGGGAGCAAACAGGAUUAGAUACCCU
rnacentral:rRNA from 1 species